rnacentral:rRNA from 1 species
UACAGAGGUCUCGAGCGUUAGGCGGAAUCACUGGGCUUAAAGCGUGUGUAGGCGGAUCGUUAAGUGCCUUGUGAAAUCCCACGGCUCAACCGUGGAACUGCUUGGCAUACUGGCGGUCUUGAGCAACCUAGGGGCGAGCCGGAACAAAUGGUGGAGCGGUGAAAUGCGUAGAUAUCAUUUGGAACGCCAAUGGUGAAAACAGCUCGCUGGGGGUUUGCUGACGCUGAGACACGAAAGCC